UACGUAGGGGGCUAGCGUUGUCCGGAUUUAUUGGGCGUAAAGAGCGUGUAGGCGGCCAUACAGGUCCGUUGUGAAAACUCGAGGCUUAACCUCGAGACGUCGAUGGAAACCGUAUGGCUAGAGUCCGGAAGAGGAGAGUGGAAUUCCUGGUGUAGCGGUGAAAUGCGCAGAUAUCGGGAGGAACACCGGUGGCGAAGGCAGCUCGCUGGGACGUUACUGACGCUGAGACGCGAAAGCGUGGGGAGCAAACAGG
rnacentral:rRNA from 1 species